rnacentral:sRNA from 1 species
UCUUCUUUUGAAAAAGAUUCAGAAAUGCAAGAAUCAAGAAGACUUUGUUAUGUUGGUAUAACAAGAGCUAGGGAAAAACUUUAUAUGACAUCAUCAGAAAU